CGGACGGGUGAGUAACGCGUGAGAAUCUGGCUCUAGGUCUGGGACAACCACUGGAAACGGUGGCUAAUACCGGAUGUGCCGAGAGGUGAAAGGUUAACUGCCUAGAGAUGAGCUCGCGUCUGAUUAGCUAGUUGGAAGUGUAAUGGACUCCCAAGGCGACGAUCAGUAGCUGGUCUGAGAGGACGGUCAGCCACACUGGGACUGAGACACGGCCCAGACUCCUACGGGAGGCAGCAGUGGGGAAUUUUCCGCAAUGGGCGAAAGCCUGACGGAGCAAUACCGCGUGAGGGAGGAAGGCUCUUGGGUCGUAAACCUCUUUUCUCAGGGAAGAACAAAAUGACGGUACCUGAGGAAUAAGCAUCGGCUAACUCCGUGCCAGCAGCCGCGGUAAUACGGAGGAUGCAAGCGUUAUCCGGAAUGAUUGGGCGUAAAGCGUCCGCAGGUGGCUAUGUAAGUCUGCUGUUAAAGAGUCUAGCUCAACUAGAUAAGAGCAGUGGAAACUACAAGGCUAGAGUACGUUCGGGGCAGAGGGAAUUCCUGGUGUAGCGGUGAAAUGCGUAGAGAUCAGGAAGAACACCGGUGGCGAAGGCGCUCUGCUAGGCCGUAACUGACACUGAGGGACGAAAGCUAGGGGAGCGAAUGGGAUUAGAUACCCCAGUAGUC
rnacentral:rRNA from 1 species